rnacentral:rRNA from 1 species
UGGGGAAUCUUGGACAAUGGGGGCAACCCUGAUCCAGCGAUGCCGCGUGAGCGAAGAAGGCCUUAGGGUUGUAAAGCUCUUUCGCCCGCGACGAUGAUGACGGUACCGGGAGAAGAAGCUGCGGCUAACUACGUGCCAGCAGCCGCGGUAAUACGUAGGCGGCAAGCGUUGUUCGGAGUUACUGGGCGUAAAGAGUGCGUAGGCGGUUUUCUAAGUUCGGUGUGAAAUCUCCCGGCUUAACUGGGAGGGUGCGCCGAAGACUGGGAAGCUGGAGUGUGGGAAAGGCAGGCGGAAUUCCUGGUGUAGCGGUGAAAUGCGUAGAUAUCAGGAGGAACACCGGCGGUGUAGACGGCUUGCUAAACCAUAACUGACGCUGAGGCACGAAAGCGUGGGUAGCAAACA